AGAAUCAACGCUGGCGGCGUGCCUAACACAUGCAAGUCGAACGAGAAAGUGGAGCAAUCCAUGAGUAAAGUGGCGACCGGGUGAGUAACACGUGACUAACCUACCCUGAAGUGGGGAAUAACUCCGGGAAACCGGGGCUAAUACCGCAUAACAUCGUCGUUUCUAAAGAAGUGACGAUCAAAGCAGCAAUGCGCUAUGGGAGGGGGUCGCGGCUGAUUAGCUAGUUGGCGGGGUAAUGGCCCACCAAGGCGAAGAUCGGUAUCCGGCCUGAGAGGGCGCACGGACACACUGGAACUGAAACACGGUCCAGACUCCUACGGGAGGCAGCAGUGGGGAAUUUUGCGCAAUGGGGGAAACCCUGACGCAGCAACGCCGCGUGGAGGAUGAAGCCCCGUUGGGCGUAAACUCCUUCGACCAAGACGAUAAUGACGGUACUGGUGGAAGAAGCGACCGGCUAACUCUGCGCCAGCAGCCGC
rnacentral:rRNA from 1 species